GACGAACGCUGGCGGCGUGCUUCAUACAUGCAAGUCGAACGAGAAGCUGACUUCGGUCAGUGGAAAGUGGCGGACGGGUGAGUAAUAUGUAGGAAAUCUGCCUUUAGGAGGGGGACAACAGAGGGAAACUUCUGCUAAUACCCCAUAUGAGCGUAGCUGAAAUGCUAUUCUUGAAAACUCCGGUGCCUAAAGAUGAGCCUGCAUCUGAUUAGCUAGUUGGUAGUGUAAUGGACUACCAAGGCGACGAUCAGUAGCUGGUUUGAGAGGAUGAUCAGCCACAAUGGGACUGAGACACGGCCCAUACUCCUACGGGAGGCAGCAGUAGGGAAUUUUGCGCAAUGGGCGAAAGCCGGACGCAGCAACGCCGCGUGAACGAUUAAGCCCUUCGGGGUGGAAAGUUCUGUCAGUGGGGACGAAACUUGACGGUACCCACAGAGGAAGCACCGGCUAACUCCGUG
rnacentral:rRNA from 1 species